rnacentral:rRNA from 1 species
AGUGAACGCUGGCGGCAGGCCUAACACAUGCAAGUCGAACGGAAGCACAGUAAGAGCUUGCUCUUACGGGUGGCGAGUGGCGGACGGGUGAGGAAUACAUCGGAAUCUUCUUUUUCGUGGGGGAUAACGUAGGGAAACUUACGCUAAUACCGCAUAUGACCUACGGGUGAAAGCAGGAGAUCUUCGCACCUUGCGCGACUGAAUGAGACGAUGUCGGAUUAGCUAGUUGGCGGGGUAAAGGCCCACCAAGGCGACGAUCCGUAGCUGGUCUGAGAGGAUGAUCAGCCACACUGGAACUGAGACACGGUCCAGACUCCUACGGGAGGCAGCAGUGGGGAAUAUUGGACAAUGGGCGCAAGCCUGAUCCAGCCAUACCACGUGGGUGAAGAAGGCCUUCGGGUUGUAAAGCCCUUUUGUUGGGGAAGAAAAGCAGCAGGUUAAUACCCCGCUGUUCUGACGGUACCCAAAGAAUAAGCACCGGCUAACUUCGUG